UCAUUUUGGUUACAUUCUCUCUCUCUCUCUCUCGCUCUCUCUCUCUCUCUCUCUGAGAGAGAGAGAGAGAGAGAGCGAGAGAGAGAGAGAGAUAGAGAGAGUGC
rnacentral:miRNA from 1 species